rnacentral:rRNA from 1 species
GUGGGGAAUCUUCCGCAAUGGACGAAAGUCUGACGGAGCAACGCCGCGUGAGUGAAGAAGGUUUUCGGAUCGUAAAGCUCUUUCGUUAGGGACGAACGUGCUCUUUGUGAAUAAUGAGGAGUAAUGACGGUACCUAAAUAAGAAGCCACGGCUAACUACGUGCCAGCAGCCGCGGUAAUACGUAGGUGGCAAGCGUUGUCCGGAAUUAUUGGGCGUAAAGCGCGCGCAGGCGGGAUAUCAAGUCUGUCUUAAAAGUGCGAGGCUCAACCUCGUGAGGGGACAGAAACUGGUAUUCUUGAGUGUCGGAGAGGAAAGUGGAAUUCCAAGUGUAGCGGUGAAAUGCGUAGAGAUUUGGAAGAACACCAGUGGCGAAGGCGACUUUCUGGACUGUGUCUGACGCUGAGGCGCGAAAGCCAGGGGAGCGAACGGGAUUAGAUACCCUAGUAGUCC